GUAGGUAAUAACUUGAGUGGUGUGGUAGCUGCUCCUGUCUGGACUGGUCUUGCUCUGUGGCUCCUUGCUUUGUCUGCAGCACUCCUGUUAUUUCCAUAAGGCAGCCUACCAGAGUCUGGCUGUACUUAUUCUACUGUUACUUAAGUAGUGCUCUCAUUUGCAAGUAGCUUGUGAUGGAUGGUCCCAGGCUCCUAUGCAAAAGCAGUGUAAUGCUAGCAGCUGCUCAUUUUUAGCUUCCCAGUAAAAAACAUUCCAAUUAAUCAAUUGAAUUACUACCAUCCAGCCCCAUGUGCUAACUUGGGAAGUACAACAAUGCCUUCUUGCUAAUCACAUAUGACAGUCUCUUGAUUUCAUUGCAAUCAAAAUGAAAUUAUAGGCUCAAGUUGGCUUCUAUACAGUCUGUUUUUGCUAAGGACAUGUGAGAAGGGUGCUUGAGCCUUGAUGGCUGAGCCCAAACUUGCUCUGCCAGGGCUUCAGAUAAUGAGGGAUAGUGCUCGGUGAGUGCUGGCUGAGGAGAAAGGGCAGCAGAAAAGCAACAGAAUGCAGUGCUGAACCUGAAUGAAAAGCAGUCGAUUGCUGUUUUAGAAGACUGUCGCUUACGGGAAGGAUCUGACAAAGUUAGAUGAGUCCAAAGUUCUCAGGGCUUCAUUUUCCUGCAUGUGGGCUCCAUCCAAAAGUGCACAGGAAAGUGGCAUUUGAGAUUGAAGUGCUAGUGGGAUAGCAAAAGGAGCUGGAGGAGAGAACAGGCUCUUAGGAGGUGUUCAGAGCCAAAGGAACUGGAAGUGAGAAAUUGCACCUUUUAAUUGCAUGUUAGCAAUUGCCAUGGUUUUUCGCUGUGCUGUUGGUGAAAUGGGAAAAGACAUGGCCAAAGUUGUUCUGGAGAGUUAGGCACAAGUGAAGACAGAAGAAAGGUAAGCAGGAGACAGCAGUGUGCUCAAAUGUUUCCUGGAAAAUGUGUGUGCAGAAAGAAGGAAGCAAGGAGACAGCAGAGGGCAGAACAAAAGACAAGCUGUGAUGCGUGAGGAGGAAACAUUUUCGGAAAAACCAACUCAUACAAGAGCUUAAAAUCCAAACGGUCCCUUCUCCUUGUGGAUGCUGAAGAGGUUGGGGUAUUUACUGAUGUUGGGGUAGAUUUCAUGGUGACAGCGUCCAUAAUUCCAUGGCAGGAGCUCUGAACUGAUUUCUCUUUCACAGCCUCAUGCACACACAAAAAAGUUGGUGUAGACCACUCCUACUUCUCUGAGGAACCAUGGAGAAGAGGGCUGUCGGUCUCUGCCAAGCUCCUGAGUCCUGCAAUCUUUGUUGUACCUGGUCUUUUUGUAGACCACAAAGGGUUGUUUUUUUCUUCUCAUAUCUGUGUAUCUCUGUGUUGCCUGGCACAACUGAGAAUCCCUGACAUACAUGGCUCCGUGUCAAAGAUUCUUUUCUGCUUCAUAUGGAAGAUGAUUCUCUGUAAGAAUAAGUGGCAAUGUACUGUAUUUGCAUCUUAUCAGCCACUUCUGACUUGAGGUUGUAAUAAUGGAACUUUUAUGAUGCAAAUUGCUACAUGGAAGGUCCAUAGAAAAUCAAUUGCUAGAUAUUUUAACAUCUUGUUUAAAAUAAAAAUUAUUUCAGAAAGUUUAUAACACUGCCAAGGAGCUACUUUUUAAUGCAG
ensembl:lncRNA